rnacentral:rRNA from 1 species
UACGGAGGGUGCAAACGUUGCUCGGAAUCAUUGGGCGUAAAGCGCACGUAGGCGGCUUUCUAAGUCAGGGGUGAAAUCCUGGAGCUCAACUCCAGAACUGCCUUUGAUACUGGAGAGCUUGAGUCCGGGAGAGGUGAGUGGAACUCCGAGUGUAGAGGUGAAAUUCGUAGAUAUUCGGAAGAACACCAGUGGCGAAGGCGGCUCACUGGCCCGGUACUGACGCUGAUGUGCGGAAGCGUGGGGAGCAAACAGG